rnacentral:rRNA from 1 species
GACGAACGCUGGCGGCGCGCCUAACACAUGCAAGUCGAGCGAACAGACCUGGAUUUUCUUCUGCUUACGUUAUCGUCGAACGGGGGAGUAACAAGUGGCACAUGUGUCUACUGCACUCAGCUUACUUAUGGGCCCGGGAGACAAUACCUGAUUCUCUAUUGGACUGCAUGGUUGUAUCGUGGGAGGCGGACUUGCUGUCACUUGUUGAUGGUUACGCGCCGCAUUAGCUAGUUGGUAAGGUGGUGGUUUACCAAGGCAACGAUGCGUAGCAGACCUGAGAGGGUGAUCGGCCACGCUGGAACUGAGACACGGUCCAGACUCCUACGGGAGGCAGCAGUAGGGGAUCGGCCGCAAUGGGCGAAAGCCUGACGGAGCAGCGCCGCGGGAGUGAUGAAGAUCACGGGAUCGUAAAACUCUGUUAUUAGGGAAGAACAAAUAUGUAAGUAACUAUGCACGUCGUGACGGUACCUAUUCAGAAAGCCACGGCUAACUACGUG